rnacentral:rRNA from 1 species
UACGUAGGUGGCGAGCGUUGUCCGGAUUUACUGGGCGUAAAGAGCGCGCAGGCGGUCGUACAAGUCGCGUGUGAAAGCCCCCGGCUCAACUGGGGAGGGUCACGCGAUACUGUUCGACUCGAAGGCAGGAGAGGGAAGUGGAAUUCCCGGUGUAGUGGUGAAAUGCGUAGAUAUCUGGAGGAACACCGGUGGCGAAGGCGGCAUCCUGGACCAACACUGACGCUGAGGAGCGAAAGCCAGGGUAGCAAACGGG